ACACCUUGUUUCUCUUCAAAUUGUAUAACUCUUUUGCCUUUUAUUAAAGGUUUCCGUGGAGAGGAACAGCAAGAGUUUAAGUACAUUUUUUGAUCUACUAUAUUGUGG
rnacentral:snRNA from 1 species